rnacentral:rRNA from 1 species
UACGUAGGGUGCAAGCGUUGUCCGGAAUUAUUGGGCGUAAAGAGCUCGUAGGCGGUCUGUUGCGUCGGCUGUGAAAACCCGGGGCUCAACUCCGGGCCUGCAGCCGAUACGGGCAGACUAGAGUUCGGCAGGGGAGACUGGAAUUCCUGGUGUAGCGGUGAAAUGCGCAGAUAUCAGGAGGAACACCAAUAGCGAAGGCAGCUCGCUGGGACGGUAUUGACGCUAAGGCGCGAAAGCGUGGGGAGCAAACAGG